rnacentral:rRNA from 1 species
GACGAACGCUGGCGGCGUGCUUAAUACAUGCAAGUCGAACGGAAAGGCCCUGCUUUUGUGGGGUGCUCGAGUGGCGAACGGGUGAGUAACACGUGAGUAACCUGCCCUUGACUUUGGGAUAACUUCAGGAAACUGGGGCUAAUACCGGAUAGGAGCUCCUGCUGCAUGGUGGGGGUUGGAAAGGUUCGGCGGUUGGGGAUGGACUCGCGGCUUAUCAGCUUGUUGGUGGGGUAGUGGCUUACCAAGGCUUUGACGGGUAGCCGGCCUGAGAGGGUGACCGGCCACAUUGGGACUGAGAUACGGCCCAGACUCCUACGGGAGGCAGCAGUGGGGAAUAUUGCACAAUGGGCGGAAGCCUGAUGCAGCAACGCCGCGUGCGGGAUGACGGCCUUCGGGUUGUAAACCGCGUUCGCCUGUGACGAAGCGUGAGUGACGGUAAUGGGUAAAGAAGCACCGGCUAACUACGUG